UAUUAUGGAAUUCCAUACGAUUGUCAUAUACAAGUGAGAAGUUUAUCUAGCAAUGAAUCCACAAUUUUCUACAUGAGUAUAUGCUAGUACCGAGUUAAAAAUAUGACAGUUUUUUUCCUUUCGUUUAAUGUGUGUGAGUUUUUGAUUUUGGCAUUUGAAACAGCAUUUGAAUUUUCCUUGUAGCUAGGUGUUUUUGUUAUUUUACUUUUUUUUCAAAAACAUUGAGGCAAAAGUGAAACCAAAAGCCCAUACGAUAUAAUACCAGUUGUCCAAACAACUCAAUAGAUAACGUUUGUUUGCCAUCGGUAGCUAUUAUAUGUCCUUUAAAACAACUGAAUAUUGUCUCUUUGUUUCAUCAAAUGUAUUAAUUUUUUUAAUUUGCAUUUUUAUUGUUUCAGGUUUUAUUGUUUGCUUUUGCUUUUUGUGUUUCUUUCCUGCAAACAUAGCAAACAUUCAUUGUUUUAUCGUAAUAUGCAUAUUUUGGGC
rnacentral:lncRNA from 1 species